UUACAGCAGAUUAUGGUUUCGGGGCCCAACCUGAACGAGACCAGCAUUGUGUCAGGAGGGUAUGGGGGACUGCCGAGGGCAUCAUUUCCACCGCUGCAAUCACAGCUGAGUUGUCGACCGCGCAGUGUGUGAGGGAGGAAAGGGCUGUAGCCAUGCCUCAGGACAGGAAGUCUCUCUUCACUCUGGUGCCCAGAGUCAGGAUGUGCAGAGCCAGUAGCAGCCUUUGUUACAGCUCCCGAGUGAAAUCUCACUCAGAGCGUGGAGUCUUAAUCUCACCCAGCAAACCUGCUGCCUGUAGGAUAGCCAGUCAGGGCAGCACCUCACCAGGUACUGUGCCAAUAGCCCGGCACUACCCCCAACUUCCUAUAAAACAACCUGCCCACUUCCCCCAUUCCCUGCUCUCUCU